rnacentral:rRNA from 1 species
CCAAAGAAUUUGGCGGUGUUUUAUUCUAAUCAGAGGAACUUGUCCCGUUAUCGAUAGUCCUCGUUUUAUCUUGCUUGAUUUAUUUAGUAUGUAUACCGCCGUUAUAAGUUUAUUUUUUUAGAAUUUUAUUUACUGGUAAUUUUAUUUUAUUUUAUUUCAGGUCAAGGUGCAGCUUAUAAUUAAGUGGUGGUGAGUUACAUUAUUAUUUGAAUAAAUGGAUUUUUUUUUGAAAUUUUUUAAUGAAGGUGGAUUUGAUGGUAAUUUUAUUUAUUAAUUUAUUUUGAAAUUAGCUCUAAGACAAGUACACA